AAUCUAUCGACAUCCACACUUGAAAGAACAAUUACAAAGUUGAUUUUUUUUUUCCUUAGGUGGGUUCGGUGAUAGGCAAGCUCAGCUCUACAUUAGACUGAGGCUCAUCUGCGAUUUGGUUCCUACCCCACCCAAUAAUGCCAAAGAGCCAACAAUGCCAGAGAGCCAACUUGUUUGCUUAUCGAGACCAGCACCUCCACAUUCAAAGGCGGUAAGAAAAGGGGAUCCAAACCCAAAUCGCAGGCAACUAAUUCUUCCACGUUGGCCAUCGAUGAAGAUUGGGUCACUAAGUAUGGCCGCCAAGGAUUGGACUAUGGCUUCUAGGUUUUUAGAAUGUUACUGGUUAUGAAGGUGGUUGGCAUUUAUGUAUGGAUUAUUGAUACCUGUUUCAAGAAUUCAACCAUUACUCUUUGCCAAGUGGUUUUUUCUAUUUCUAAUUUCACUUUAAUUUCCUUGGAUUCUCUAUCUUUCGAGACAAUAAUCUGUAUUGUAGACUCUUUACCUGAUGCUGCCCUCUUUAUGAGUGUGAAUUUCUUGUAUUUAUUGAUAUAA